UUCCACUGUUUUAGUUUGUCU
rnacentral:piRNA from 1 species